ACAAAGGUAUUUUAACGUUUAAAUGUGUAUUUUAGAUGUGCACUUUUUUCGAACCACUAACAUUUAUUGAACUAAUUAAUUCUAACGAUUACCAUGAUUAAUCUAAGAUGGAAAAAGAUUUACCAUAAUUAAGAAUAGGGAGUAAAUUUGCGAUAAAAAAAGCUUGCAAUCCCUAAAAAUUCUAUGCAUUUGACAUUUUGAAUGACCUUCGUCUACACUAGCGCCCCUAGCGGCGAAAUUAAUCGCGGUAGCCCUCAUUGUCUCGAUGAGUAUUCGUUGCCUGUUUGAAGAAAAGUAUAGUCAGCAAUAAAAGCUUGUAUCUUCUUCUUCCUCGCGUUAUCCCGGCAUUUUGUCCCGGCUCAUGGGAGCCUGGGAUCCGUUUGACAACUAAAAUAAAAGCUUGUAUCAAAAAUGAAUAUUUUGACACAAACUUAUUUGUAAAAUAGCUUACUGUUAAUACGUACACUAUGUCGGUACUUUUCGAAUUUAAUACCGGUACAGACAAUGAGCGAAAAUUGCACGUUGCAGUCGAUAGAGAUCGGUACAGCGUAUAAAAUUAAGAGCAUCGUGCUGUGGAAAUCAUUCACAUGGGAGCGGAUCAGAUAAUUGACGAUAAAAUGAUGUAUGUGUUUGAUAAUAACGAUAAUAAUAUGUUCCACGUAUCGGGGGAAAGUGGAUUCUUUCUUUAUUAUCCUAUCAGCUAAAAUAAGUCCAGUGUCCUUAACUUUUGAGUGCAGAAGAGACAUUUUUUUGCUGUAUAUGACUCAUAUAUGUAUCAUGUAAAGUUUCAUGAAAACUUAAAUAAAAAACAUUCGAACCUGCGUUCUAUAAUUUGAGAGGAGUCUUGAGUACUCGGUGAUCAAAUAUUUUUUACAGACACCUAUUUUAUGAAAGCGAAUCAUUUAUAAACUAUGUUAAGUCAAUUCACCAGCGGAAUGCGUCCACAACAGACGAUAUUUUAGACUUCUUUUAUUGCAUCUGGAACACCUACUGACAUAACAUAUAUAUAUAUAUUUUUUAGUUCCGCUACCUAAAGGUUGUGUGCAAGAGAUCGCUUUUUAGCGAUAAGACCGCCUGUUGUUUACCUCUUCUUUAUGUGUUGUAUUAUUUGUACUGUUUCUGUAUUGAGGUGUACAAUAAAGUGUAUUUGUAUUGUAUUGUAUUUUAUUCACAUCAAUAAUGAUGUAUGGAUAAGUAUAGAGAUGGGCCGAAUAUGGAGUUUGCCGAAUACGAAUAUUCGGCCGAAUGUUCCGUCCGGAUCUUAUCACUCAUACAUUUUUUAUAAAUCAUCCGAAAACGUCUUAAUUGCAAUCGCAGCUAGAGAGAUAAACUGCUCCCUUGAAGCAUUCAGAUUUCGUAAAAGGCAAACGACUCGCGAACAAAUUUUCUAGUGAUCUUUUAGUCCCGUGAAUACCUAGUAGGUAUGCAUCAUAGGUACAUUUUAUAAUGUUAAUAGAAAAAUUGUAUGCAGAGUUGAAUGAACAUCAAGUAUGAAAAACAUUUGCCGAAUAUUCGGCAUUUGAACAGAAUAAAUAAUAGUACUACGUACAGAAGGUUCACUGUACAACAAAACCCCUGUUUAUGUAUACCGAAUGUUCCUAAAACGUUGCCGAUUGGACAUAUUAUGUGUUGUCAGCAUUAUUGUCAUUGCUUCCGCAACUAGCUGCGAUGCAGUGUUUACUUCUUUUACGUCCCGAUUCGAAGAAUGAUUAAGACACGUUUAAGAUCUUGGAAAUAUCUUUAAAAGAUCGAUAACUAAGCGACAUGUCAAAAUUGACGUUUAUUUUGAUUCCGCUAUGAUCACAAUAGGAUCUAGCUACGAUAUUUCUAACGUCAAAGUGACAUUGGUUGCCCGAAUCAAGCUGCUUCUGUCAAUUAUACGACACACAAACGAUAUCUAAAUGAGAACUUAUCUAAACCAGAUCUUAUUGUUGUCGUCGUUUUCGUAUGUCAUUUUUCGAAUCGGGCCAUUAGACAUGUUUUUGCGACUUUGCGACACCAAUUUUUGUGCAGAGAUUUACCCCAGCGAAUACGAAUAUUGAAAAACUUGCCGAAUGCCGGAUAAUUACCGGAUAUUUAGGCCAUCCCUAGUUGAGAAUGACAAUAAAUUCCAUCGUCAAUGUAAAUUGGUUGACGGUGGUCGGCAUUCUUUUGUAUGAGGCCGUGAGUCAUGAAAACGUUUUUAAGGAACUAUAGGAAUUUUGAAGAAAAAACAAGAUUCUAGCUGGCUAUGACGAGACAGCUUUAAGUGUAAUUUAGUCAUCGUGAAAAAGGAAAUGUGAAAGUUUGGAUAAACGAUUCUUUAUGCAAAGAAAUACUAAAAAACCUUGUAUGUAAAUUUACCAGAAUACUAUCAGACUUUGGCACUACUAAAAUCUUUGUAAAAUUUAGCUUUUUCCUCGCAAGUGUGAUGAAAACCAUUGUGUGUAACUCCGGGGUAAGAAUAUUGCGCACGCACAAUCUACUAUUUUUUAAAUAAUCUUCAACGCUCAUGUAAAACCUUCAGGAAUUACAAAUACCUGUAGUCUACAGGUUCCGCUUACAAUCUACCAUCGCUUUGCUUGCCACCAUCGUGCUGAAAUUCUCCAGCCAACUGUACAUAAGUAAUGCCAUUUCAUGAACAAAAUUAUCCGCAAGACGAUUCACUUAAUAGGUAUACCCAAAGGGUGAAGAAAUUACAAUUUAACCCCAAGAAACCCUUGUAAGUAUUUGAACAAUAUGAAGUUACAAUUAGAGCCUUUGCUCUGUCGGUUGGAUUCAAUUAAGGGGUAAUCGGAAAUUUCUGUUCAUUAUCUUUGAUGUUAUUUUGGGAAAAGGUCAAAUUUGGAAAUUCUUUGAAUUAAUUUAGGAAUUAAGGAAUUAAUGUACUUUUACAGUACAUAUGGUACAACUUUACCGCACUAGUGCGAAAAUUAGCAUAUUACGUUACUGUGUCGAACAUUUAAAGGGCUGUAUGUACUGUAAAACGUUGUACGAUACAUGUGCAAAUAGGUAAUUCGCAACUCGUGUCGAUUUAAAACACUCCCUUCGGUCGUGUUUUAAUUUAUCGCCACUCGUUUCGAAUUUCCUAUUUUUUGCACUUGUAUCGUAAUGUACUAUUAAAUAAGUGUAUUAGAUGUGUACCUAAACACUUUGUUUUAAAUGAAAAAGAAGACACGCUAGACUCAUUCAUAAAAUAGACACACUAAAGACCUUCAACAAAACAUAGAAACAUAACAUACCA